rnacentral:ncRNA from 1 species
GGGCAGGAUGUGUGGUGUAGGCCCACAGGCCACACCACGCCUUAUUCGCGCAAGCGCUCAACGGCAUCCUGCUCUGCGAGGC